CUUUUUAUUUCAAAAAAAAAAAGCUCUUUCUUCUUAACAAAAUUUCCUCACAUUGAUGCAGAGUUCAUAUUUGGAUGUAAUUGUUGCCCACUUUAAAAAAAUUAUCAUAAAACUCUUAACUAGCAAAAUAGUAACUCUACUAAAAACUCAUGGUUACUUGUUCAAUCAUUCAUCAUCAAACCUGACACCCGACAUUGGCACCUCACCAGUAAUUUGAUCAUCAUCAUCAUCAUC
rnacentral:misc_RNA from 1 species